GGGGGUCCCACUACCACUGCCUUAAAUGCUCAGAUCAAGCUGCUCCAUCUUGGCAACUUUGGCCCCAACUCCAUAAAUGUUGCCCUCAAAAUCGAGAACAAAUGCCUCUACUACUCCAUCAUCAAAAGGGUUAACGGACUUUUAAUGGACGCUGACUGGAGCCGCCAGGGUCCCUUUUCGACCAGAUAUUCCAGUUGAAAACCAGAUGCCUGGCAACCCUAAAUGGGGUAUUGUCAGGAUAAAAACAUCAAAGAUUAUGAAGUCCUCAUAUCCUGCAGUAAUGGGGGCCAUGGAAACAAGAAAAAUCCACUCUGAAUGGAGCCUUCCUCUGAGUUUUCCAGGAUCAUAUGUCAACUGGAACCAGUUAGUUGCAAAGGCUGAAUCUCCACUGACCUCGUGAUUUCUCAGUACAGGGAGAUGUGCUAAAGAUUCCGUUUCAGCCUAAACUUUGAAUAUACCUGCUCGUGGGCUUAAGCGUGAACCCUAAGGGAUACAUUUUCAAAGCAG